rnacentral:rRNA from 1 species
ACCGUACUCCUACGGGAGGCAGCAGUGGGGAAUAUUGGACAAUGGGCGCAAGCCUGAUCCAGCCAUGCCGCGUGAGUGAUGAAGGCCUUAGGGUUGUAAAGCUCUUUUGUCCGGGAAGAUAAUGACUGUACCGGAAGAAUAAGCCCCGGCUAACUUCGUGCCAGCAGCCGCGGUAAUACGAAGGGGGCUAGCGUUGUUCGGAAUCACUGGGCGUAAAGCGCACGUAGGCGGACCAUUAAGUCAGGGGUGAAAGCCUGGAGCUCAACUCCAGAACUGCCUUUGAUACUGAUGGUCUCGAGUUCGGAAGAGGUUGGUGGAACUGCGAGUGUAGAGGUGAAAUUCGUAGAUAUUCGCAAGAACACCAGUGGCGAAGGCGGCCAACUGGUCCGAUACUGACGCUGAGGUGCGAAAGCGUGGGGAGCAAACAGGAUUAGAUACCCCAGUAGUCCUUGAC